ensembl:lncRNA LINC01635 long intergenic non-protein coding RNA 1635
GGGGUGGGCCGGGUCUCUCUAGCCUCCGCGGUACUACGCAGCUUCAUGGUUUUAACUCUUGGUGGUCUUUUGACCGUCCUCAGUCCUUACCGUGCGGAGUUUUGGAUACAUUCUUAGCAGCUUUUUCGCUCCGGAGAAGUUCUUUAUCUUUCUGAGCCGCAGUUUGCCCAACUGCAAAAUGGAAAGAGAUGAAGCAGGAAUUAAGAUACUCUAGGAGCUCGCCCACAGCUGAUUCAGGGCCCCAUUCUGAGGUUACACCCUUAAGCCUUUGCACCACUCAAAGGAAGGAAACCAAGAGAGAGGGGUGGCUGGCUGCUGUUUGGAGACAGUGGUCCUUGUAUUGGCGCCCCGCGGAAUCACUCCAGAUGAGUCAGUGGAUACAGUCUAUAGGUCCCGCCUCAUUGUACGCAAACAGCAGUGGGCAUAUGGCCGUGGGGGGUUGAUACAGCCUGUCCGGGGUGGGACUCUGUGUGUAUGGGAGGCUAAAUCUCAGCAGGACUUUUCCAGUUGCUACCAGACUACGCACUGUCGCCUGAUGGUUAAGAACUGAAGCUUUAGCCGUGCGCGGUGGCUCACGCCUGUAAUCCCAGCACUUUAGGAGGCAGAGGCGUGUGGAUCACCUGAGGUCACGAGUUCGAGACCAGCUUGACCAACAAGGUGAAACUCAGUCUUUACUAAAAAUACAAAAAUUAGCCGGGCGUGCUGGCAGGCGCCUAUAGUCCCAGCUGCUCGGGAGACUGAGACAGGAGAAUUGCUUGAACCCGGGAGGCGGAGGUUGCAGUGAGCCGAGAUUGCGCCAUUGCACUCCAGCCCGGACGAGGGAGCAAGACUCCAUCUCAAAGAUGAAGCUUUGAAGUCAUACUGAUCUGGUUUGCGUCUGAUCACACAGGUUCAAUGACACAGCCGGCUAGAGGAAGCAGAGAUGCUAACCACUGCAGCCCCGAUCUUAACCCUGAAGGGGAGGGAUUGAGCUGUUAGAGAGAGGUACUCAGUUGACUUCUCCCUCUCUCUUUCCAGCUGGCAUAUCCGAAUGGGCUGAGCUACCGGAUUAAGAGGGACACCCCAAAGCCCCCAUUGCUGGGUUAUUGCUCCAGAGCCAAUGUUCUUGGGGAAAGGAAGAUAUGCCCUUUGUCAACAUUGCCACUGCUGGUCUGUAAACUCCUAGACGGCCAGCUGGUGGUUCACAAACCAGGACUCCUUGCUCUGGCCCUACCCCUACCUACCAGAAUGACCGUGAACCCUUCCCCACUCACUCCUACAACCAGGUUUCCAUCUCCUCUCUCAGCUUAGGUUUCCCUAACUGUAAAAUAAAAGGGUUGGACUAGGUUAAGGACUUCCUGCUAUUUCUCUCUCCCACACUCUAAGGUUCCUUAGGAAUGCUUCAGAAAACAGCAGGGGUUGGGGCAAGGAUGCCGCUUGAGUCCCAGAGCAACUCCAAUUUCAUAGGCACAUAAAUUUAUGUGAAAGUAU